AUUAUGCAGCAGCGAAUUCAUAGUAUUACUAGACAAAGAGAAGAGCUGCAACAUGUGGAGAUUGAACUUAAAGCUCAGUUGAAGAUCAUGGAAAUGCAGAACAGUUUUGAUGCUCAAAUCAAAGAUCAUGAAGAUGCUGCUGCAAAUCUUAAGGAACAACUCCGAGAAAGGGAACAGGUGAAACAUGAAUUAGAAAGGAGAAUGGAAGAGAAAGAAAGAGAAUUACAUGCCAUUAAAUUGGAUAAUGAAGCG
rnacentral:misc_RNA from 1 species